rnacentral:rRNA from 1 species
UACAGAGGUCCCAAGCGUUGUUCGGAUUCAUUGGGCGUAAAGGGUGCGUAGGCGGCGCGGUAAGUCGGGUGUGAAGUCUCGGGGCUUAACUCCGAAACUGCAUUCGAUACUGCCGUGCUUGAGGACUGGAGAGGAGACUGGAAUUACGGUGUAGCGGUGAAAUGCGUAGAUAUCGUAAGGAAGAACCAGUGGCGAAGGCGGGUCUCUGGACAGUUCCUGACGCUGAGGCACGAAGGUCAGGGGAGCAAACGGG